rnacentral:rRNA from 1 species
CCUACGGGUGGCAGCAGUGAGGAAUAUUGGUCAAUGGACGAGAGUCUGAACCAGCCAAGUAGCGUGAAGGAUGACUGCCCUAUGGGUUGUAAACUUCUUUUAUAUGGGAAUAAAACGCUCCACGUGUGGGAUUUUGUAUGUACCAUAUGAAUAAGGAUCGGCUAACUCCGUGCCAGCAGCCGCGGUAAUACGGAGGAUCCGAGCGUUAUCCGGAUUUAUUGGGUUUAAAGGGAGCGUAGGUGGGUUGUUAAGUCAGUUGUGAAAGUUUGCGGCUCAACCGUAAAAUUGCAGUUGAAACUGGCAGUCUGGAGUACAGUAGAGGUGGGCGGAAUGCGUGGUGUAGCGGUGAAAUGCUUAGAUAUCACGAAGAACUCCGAUUGCGAAGGCAGCUCACUGGUCUGCAACUGACGCUGAGGCUCGAAAGCGUGGGUAGCGAACAGGAUUAGAUACCCUGGUAGUC